rnacentral:lncRNA from 1 species
AAAAACAUGGUAAAUACGUUAUUAAAACAUUUUCGAAGAAACGUAUUUAUUUCAUUUUAAAAUGUUUGGGAUGUCAUCGUUAAUACCGAAACAUAAGCAUAAACAGAACUUACAAUGAUUUACACUAGUGAUCUACAUCUCUUUUAAAUCUCUCAGUGUAAUGUCACUUCACUUCGUCACCUGUGAUAUACAUAAACUGAGUGGGUCAGGUUGGGAAACCUGGUGAGUACAUAGGGUUUUCAACCCACAAUAAUAUAAUUAUUAUGUUCAAUCAAACAAUCAACCCAAUUACCCAUCCCCAUUAUCUUCUUUACUCUUUAAGGAUUUAACCUAAGAGUCAUCUAUCCUGCAUUCGUUUAUUCCGAAGUCCCUUACUUCCAGGGUUAUGGGACUGGCACUAAAUCCAUAGCUGCCAAUGUUCGUUCAUAAAGCACUAAUUCCAUAGCUGCUAUAGUCUAUUCAUCGGGUACUAAAUCCAUAGCUACCAGUCUUUAUCUAAUAGGUACUAAGUCCAUAGCUACCAAUGUUCAACAGGUACUAAGUCCAUAGCUACCAAUUCCUACAGGUACUAAAUCCUUAGCUACCAGCGUCUAACUAAUAGGUACUAAGUCCAUAGCUACCAAUUCCCAACAGGUACUAAAUCCAUAGCUACCAACGUCUAAAAGGUACUAAGUCCAUAGCUACCGGUGUUUGUCCCAUAGGCACUAAGUCUAUAGCUGCCAAUGUAUACUCACGUCAUCUUCUAUCUCUCAUCAUUCAUCUACCCAUCUCAUACCCAACAUUUUCGUAUAUAUAAAAUACGUAUACAGUUUAAGUCCUUUAAAACAUGUAUAAAACGUUCAACCAGCAUAGACAGCAAGUAUUCAGAUAAUGUGCACACAUAGCACGUAGUUUAUAUAAAAUACUUCAUAUCUAUGUGUAAGAUGAAAGGGACUAUGCACUCACUUGAAAGGUGGUGAGUCGGCACUCGGACAGCACUUCGUUACUCUUAAAACAAUUAUCCCUUGACGAAACCUAGUAUCAUUACCACUAGAGUUUAGUCUAACGCUUGACGAGACUAAUUUAAUAGUCUAGCUAUUAUUACUAUUAUAUAAGCGUUAAAUAACACUCAAUAUAACUCAUAAUAAUAGCCUAAAUAAUUAUUUUAAGGUCCUAACAAUGUUACUAUAAUUAAAUAAAAUCUAUAUUAAAUAUACUAUAGGCGUAGCUCACUUACAGCGGGUUUUUAUUAAAAACCGGGCUUCGCUGGAGCAGCGUUUCCGAGCCGAAAGCUUUUCUUCUCGGAGCCGUCGGGCGCUCCGGGGCUUUCUUCUCGUGCUAGGGAGGUUCCGUAGACUUGGGAGGGGUUUAGGGAGGCUAGAGAGAAGUUAGAGAGAGAAAGAAAGGCUUAUGGUGUGAAGAAAAUAUGAGGAGUUCACCCUUGUAUUUAUAGGAAGUGUAUAGUAAAGUAGUCUCCAAGCUUCGUCCGUAACUUUUGCAUACGAGCUCCGUUUUUGUCUGUCUUUUUACUGUUGAGUUCCUAUUAAUGAGAUCUUCAACUUUCAUUUAGACCUCGUUGGCUAAUUCUCAUUCUAUCUCGGAUUUACAAAACUGUAUCAAAUUCGCCGCGCUCGAAAAGUAGGGACUAAGCUUCGUCCAUAACUUUCGCAUACGAGCUCCAUUUUUGUCUGUCUUUUUACCGUUGAGUUCCUAUUAAUGAGAUCUUCAACUCUCAUUUAGACCUCGUUGGCUAAUUCUCAUUCUAUCUCGUAUUUACAAAACUGUAUCGAAUUCGCCGCGCUCGAAAAGUAGGGACUAAGCUUCGUCCAUAACUUUUGCAUACGAGCUCUAUUAUCGACGUUCUUUAUAUCCACGCGUUGGUAUUUACGAGUACUACAACUUUCAUUUAGAUCCCGUCGGCUAAAAAUCGACCGAUCUAAAAUUCAGAUUUCGGGCUGUGCACUGCUAUGCUAAAUCUUAGAAAAAUCAUAACUUCCUCAUACGAAGUCAGAUUUGGGCGUUCUUUUUAUCGAUGUUCUUAGUUUAACAUAUUCUACGACUUUCGUUUAGAUCGCUAAGGCUAAAUCUCGCUCUAUCGUAAAUUCACUAUUUACGCUUCCCGGUAUCGUGCCGGUUCCGUCGCGAAACUUCAACGGGUCAUAACUUCUUCGUUAUAACUCGGUUUUCGGCGUUCUUUAUAUGUACGAAAACCUUGUAACAUACUCUACAACUUGGUUAAGAUUAUUUAUUCUAAAUAAUCUUUUGUCGAAAAGUCGUUUUCGACCCCUAUUGCCUCUAAUUUGACUAGCCCAGAUUUGCGGGCGUUACAAUUAUCUCCCCCUUAGGAUGAUUACGUCCCGGAAUCAUCAACGAAACAGGGUCGUAUAAUGACUCCAUACGUCAUCUCUUCAUCCUAGGUAAUAAUUAUAACUUCUACAUUCCUUCAAUUCUAUCUCUUAAACUCAUUGACUGUAAGAGUACUCGAUCGUGCACCUGCUCUCUACCUCAGGUUAGACUCCAAAUUAUGACCUUCAAGUCACAAUCUCGAUCCUUGCUGGAUACGGACUUGAGAUAAGUUCUUUUAUUACUACUAUAGAUCGAUGUGUCAUAUUCUAAUGACCUAUCAUCGUAUGUUGCAACACUUAGACUUAGGUCUCUUAGAGUUAAAUUCUAAAACAGACUAUGCCUUCCUUCAUGUUCUAAUGUGAUAUAAUCACACUUUAACAUUAGGCAUUUCUAGCCACCAACUUCUUUAACAACGAGUGCGAUACUUCUAUUGAUCGCUUUGAUUUCAACCGUUUGGUUUAAGUCGGACGCUACAUCAAACUUGGUUCUCUGAACCACACAACAUACUCAUCGUAGUCGGACUCGAUUCGAUAUGACCACUAGGGUCGGAAUAUCAACAAUCUUCUUAGUCAUUACCGAAACGAUGGUAACAACACACUUGAAUAAAACGAAAUCAAUUACUAGCUUCUUGGUAACCUUGUGACUUUCCCUGAUCCAAGUGUGAGUCCUGUGCUUCCGGUAGUAUAGGCCUCUACUACCAUUCACACCUACUCAUACUCGUCCCAAGUAUUGUCUCGCAGUUUCCCAAGUCACCAUGCAGCAAAUCACACAAUCAUUCGACACAUCAGAUAACAAAACGAAGGUUUUAUAUUAAUUCUUGAAACGAUUACAUAGGUGUUCAAGUUCACCCUAGACUAUGCCUCUACUAGGCUACAUCAUAAAAUACUAUGGCUACUACAUAACUUGAUCUUCUGAUAUGAAGUCCUCAUCCUUGAUUCCUCGCACGGUUUUCUGCUUCGUCGAGGAUCAUGUGAAAUGCCCUUGGCCUUGGUGGCGUUUCUGGUCUUACUGCUUUAUUUUUCUUUGGGCAGUUUCUGGACAUAUGCCCCUUGCCUCCACAUCCGUAGCAUACUUUAUCAUCAUGUGUGCAGUCUUUGGAAUAGUGACCAGUCCUCCCACACUUGUAACAAGUCACUUCUUCAUUGCACUUCCCACCAUGCUUCUUCUUGCAUCUAUCACACCAUCUUGCUUCACCUCCAUCUGCUCCUCCAAGUUUUGAGAAUUUUCUUUCCUUGUUCGACCUCGAAGAUCCCUCAAACUUUCGCUUCUCUCCUGCCUUAUCUUUUUCUAGACCCUUUUCUCUUAUCUGGGCCUCUACGUUCUUAGCUGCCCUAACAGCUGCUUUCAAGGUAGUUGCCAUUUUGACCAUUGGGCCAAAGUCAGUGGGCAGUCCGUUAGCAAACCUAUCAAUCUUGGAGAGUUCAGUAGGCACCAAGUAGGGAAAUAGCUUCAUCCUCUCGGUAAAUGCGGUGGCAUACUCAUCAACACUCAUCUUCCCUUUCUUCAGGUUCUGAAACUCGUUGUUUAGGUCUAUCAGAUCUACCUCCGAGCAGUACUGCAUUUUCAACUGUUCCAAAAACUCUUCCCACGACAUCCUUAAGGCUUCUCCUCGUGGCAUCGUAUCUGCCAAUAGCUUCCACCAGCUCAAGACUCCAGUUUUCAGUUGUCUUACAGCGAAGACAGUCUUCUGUUUCUCGUUACAGCUGCAGCUCUCAAACACCAUCUCCAUCUCAGAGAUCCAAUCCAUAAUCUCAACCGGCUUCGGGCUUCCUGAGAGACUUGGUGGUUUCGCACCCAAGAAAUUCUUGUACAUCCGCCCAUCCUUGUUGUUUCUCCCUUCUGGGCCAUCCCUUUGCUCACCUUGAGUCCCAACUUGACUCACUUGGCGGCUGUAGUUCCCUUCCUCAGAUUGCUCGGGAAUCAGUUCGGGUUGCUCAAUGGGCAUAGUAGGUUCGUCCCUAUUCAACAUCCGUCUCAUUUCUUCCCUUUGUUCAGCCAACAUAGCCCGAAUCAUGGCUUGAACUCCAGCCAUGGUGACUGGCUCAGGCGCAACUUCUUCUACAACAGGUAUUUGCUGAACCACUGGGGGUUGGUUCCUGUUCCCAUUUGCGUUUACGUUUCCGCUACGGGUCCUUACCAUCUCGAUCUAUACACCGAAUAAGGUGAAUUUAGACCUUUACUUGACGUUUAAAUCAUCCUUAUCACUCCGAAACGUUUACAUGCUAGUUCUAAUACCGUAGUCGUACGUUUAGAAUCCUAAACACAUAAGGUUUCCAGAUCCGGUCGGCAACAGACCAUAGAUCCGAACAAUUAACAACAUAUCAUGCACAAAGCAUUUAGCACAUAAAAGCAUUUUAGGCAUAAUUCCUAAAAUAAGCUAGUGCUCACACCUCACAAUCAUCGCUUAGCAUUCUAAGUUUAAGUCUAGAAAUAAAUCCAUAUUCCUAGUUCGCUUAAACUAAUGCUCUGAUACCAACUGUGACAUCCCCAAAAUCACGGCCAGAAAAGACCGAUUUUGUUUAUGCUUUAUAAAAAUCAGAGUACUUCAUUUUAUAAAAAGGUUGCGGAAUUUGUUCCCAGAAAAACAUGGUAAAUACGUUAUUAAAACAUUUUCGAAGAAACGUAUUUAUUUCAUUUUAAAAUGUUUGGGAUGUCAUCGUUAAUACCGAAACAUAAGCAUAAACAGAACUUACAAUGAUUUACACUAGUGAUCUACAUCUCUUUUAAAUCUCUCAGUGUAAUGUCACUUCACUUCGUCACCUGUGAUAUACAUAAACUGAGUGGGUCAGGUUGGGAAACCUGGUGAGUACAUAGGGUUUUCAACCCACAAUAAUAUAAUUAUUAUGUUCAAUCAAACAAUCAACCCAAUUACCCAUCCCCAUUAUCUUCUUUACUCUUUAAGGAUUUAACCUAAGAGUCAUCUAUCCUGCAUUCGUUUAUUCCGAAGUCCCUUACUUCCAGGGUUAUGGGACUGGCACUAAAUCCAUAGCUGCCAAUGUUCGUUCAUAAAGCACUAAUUCCAUAGCUGCUAUAGUCUAUUCAUCGGGUACUAAAUCCAUAGCUACCAGUCUUUAUCUAAUAGGUACUAAGUCCAUAGCUACCAAUGUUCAACAGGUACUAAGUCCAUAGCUACCAAUUCCUACAGGUACUAAAUCCUUAGCUACCAGCGUCUAACUAAUAGGUACUAAGUCCAUAGCUACCAAUUCCCAACAGGUACUAAAUCCAUAGCUACCAACGUCUAAAAGGUACUAAGUCCAUAGCUACCGGUGUUUGUCCCAUAGGCACUAAGUCUAUAGCUGCCAAUGUAUACUCACGUCAUCUUCUAUCUCUCAUCAUUCAUCUACCCAUCUCAUACCCAACAUUUUCGUAUAUAUAAAAUACGUAUACAGUUUAAGUCCUUUAAAACAUGUAUAAAACGUUCAACCAGCAUAGACAGCAAGUAUUCAGAUAAUGUGCACACAUAGCACGUAGUUUAUAUAAAAUACUUCAUAUCUAUGUGUAAGAUGAAAGGGACUAUGCACUCACUUGAAAGGUGGUGAGUCGGCACUCGGACAGCACUUCGUUACUCUUAAAACAAUUAUCCCUUGACGAAACCUAGUAUCAUUACCACUAGAGUUUAGUCUAACGCUUGACGAGACUAAUUUAAUAGUCUAGCUAUUAUUACUAUUAUAUAAGCGUUAAAUAACACUCAAUAUAACUCAUAAUAAUAGCCUAAAUAAUUAUUUUAAGGUCCUAACAAUGUUACUAUAAUUAAAUAAAAUCUAUAUUAAAUAUACUAUAGGCGUAGCUCACUUACAGCGGGUUUUUAUUAAAAACCGGGCUUCGCUGGAGCAGCGUUUCCGAGCCGAAAGCUUUUCUUCUCGGAGCCGUCGGGCGCUCCGGGGCUCUCUUCUCGUGCUAGGGAGGUUCCGUAGACUUGGGAGGGGUUUAGGGAGGCUAGAGAGAAGUUAGAGAGAGAAAGAAAGGCUUAUGGUGUGAAGAAAAUAUGAGGAGUUCACCCUUGUAUUUAUAGGAAGUGUAUAGUAAAGUAGUCUCCAAGCUUCGUCCGUAACUUUUGC